rnacentral:rRNA from 1 species
GGUGGCUAUGGGACGAACCUGAUGCAGCACCGCCGCGUGAGGGAAGAAGGCCUUCGGGUUGUAAACCUCUUUUCCGAGGGAAGAAAAUUCCACUCUGUGUAAUAUAAUGUUACCUCAAAACUCUUGCCCGGCUCACUACGUUUAAACAGGCG